rnacentral:rRNA from 1 species
UACGAAGGGGGCUAGCGUUGUUCGGAAUCACUGGGCGUAAAGGGCGCGUAGGCGGCUUUAUGAGUCGGGGGUGAAAGCCUGUGGCUCAACCACAGAAUUGCCUUCGAUACUGUAGAGCUUGAGACCGGAAGAGGUAAGUGGAACUGCGAGUGUAGAGGUGAAAUUCGUAGAUAUUCGCAAGAACACCAGUGGCGAAGGCGGCUUACUGGUCCGGUUCUGACGCUGAGGCGCGAAAGCGUGGGGAGCAAACAGG